rnacentral:rRNA from 1 species
GACGAACCGUGCGAACGUUGUUCGGAAUCACUGGGCUUAAAGGGCGCGUAGGCGGGCAGUCAAGUCCGGGGUGAAAGCUUCCGGCUCAACCGGAAAAGGGCCUUGGAUACUGGCUGUCUGGAGGGAGGUAGGGGCAUGCGGAACUUCCGGUGGAGCGGUGAAAUGCGUUGAGAUCGGAAGGAACGCCCGUGGCGAAAGCGAGGUCCUGGACGUUUUCUGACGCUGAGACGCGAAAGCCAGGGGAGCGAACGGG